AACGCGCUUCUUAUGAUGAUUAAAAUCCUUUUUUCAGACGUUAGACUUCUGAUUUUUAAAGGAAGAAACAAGGUAUAGAUAUCUGAAGAGUGUGUU